UGAGGAAUUUUCCGCAAUGGACGAAAGUCUGACGGAGCGACACCGCGUGGGUGAUGAAGGUCUUCGGAUCGUAAAGCCCUGUCGGGGGGGAAGAAACCCUACCUCGUGAAUAAUAAGGUAGAUUGACGGUACCCCCUAAGGAAGCACCGGCUAACUACGUGCCAGCAGCCGCGGUACUACGUAGGGUGCAAGCGUUAUCCGGAAUCACUGGGCGUAAAGAGCUCGUAGGUGGUCUUGUAAGUCGCAUGUUAAAGCCCCAGGCUUAACUUGGGAAAUGCGUGCGAUACUGCUAGGCUAGAGGAUGGGAGAGGAAAGCGGAAUUCCAGGUGUAGCGGUGAAAUGCAUAGAUAUCUGGAAGAACACCAGUGGCGAAGGCGGCUUUCUGGACCAUUUCUGACACUGAGGAGCGAAAGCUAGGGUAGAGAACG
rnacentral:rRNA from 1 species